GACGAACGCUGGCGGCGUGCUUAACACAUGCAAGUCGAACGGAAAGGCCCUGCUUUUGUGGGGUGCUCGAGUGGCGAACGGGUGAGUAACACGUGAGUAACCUGCCCUUGACUUUGGGAUAACUUCAGGAAACUGGGGCUAAUACCGGAUAGGAGCUCCUGCUGCAUGGUGGGGGUUGGAAAGUUUCGGCGGUUGGGGAUGGACUCGCGGCUUAUCAGCUUGUUGGUGGGGUAGUGGCUUACCAAGGCUUUGACGGGUAGCCGGCCUGAGAGGGUGACCGGCCAAAAUGGGACUGAGGUACGGCCCCGAACCCUACGGGAGGGAGGAGGGGGGAAUAUUGGAACAUGGGGGGAAGCCUGAAGGAGCAACGCCGGGGGCGGGAUGACGGCCUUCGGGUUGUAAACCGCUUUCGCCUGUGACGAAGCGUGAGUGACGGUAAUGGGUAAAGAAGCACCGGCUAACUACGUG
rnacentral:rRNA from 1 species